ACACGUCACGUCCCAAUUGGCCAAGUAAAUCAUAAUAUGAGAAUAUUAAAAUAGGGUCACAUGAGGAGCGAUUCAGCAUUCUGUUAGUUUGAGCAGAACUCCGGACUGGCCACCAGGGGGAAACUCUCUAACCAUCGCCUCUCUUGACAAGCUUUUGACAAGCUAAAAGCUGCCUACAGCUGACACAGUAAAACAGUUCCAUCAGCUACUCAGAAACAGCUGCUCUAGACGCAAACUAGUUCCAACCUGUGUGGCUGGUGACAUCUCUGGACUGAAGCGUUGGUUCUGCGGUUAAUCUACUGAACCUCGAUGCCCAGAGGUCAUCUGACCUCCCUGACCUAUGGAUCCGCGAAGAGGGUCUCCAAAAGGGUGAGGUAGACACAGGCGCGCAGAUAGGGUGGGGGAUGGGUGGGUGGCGGGGGGUUGGGGGGAUUUGUCCCCCCCCAGAUUCAGAUCGACCCCGAUUCAUCCCCCCCAACUAAGGCCAGAAAGAAAACAAAAUCUGAGGUUAAGCGCUUGAAGCUCCUUUUUCCAAUUACAUUGAAUGCAGCAUGACGUAAACAAACACCGACUCCAGAGGCACCAAAGUGGUUGCUGCUAGGGUGCAGGAUGAAGCGAAAAAGGCAAGCAACGAUUACUGCGUAUUUAAAAAAGACCAACAAUGUAGUAGGUGGGACCGAUCUGUCUGUUUAUGCAUGUUGGUUCUAGUUUCAGUACGUUGUUGUCAGUGUUGGGACUUACUCGUUAUAAGUGCCAAAGCCUCAUUGCUGACUUUAACAAGUCUCAUCUACAAAUAUGAUCCCUCAUGAAGUUACUACUUUACAUCAGAAGAUAGUGGAGAUGUGUAACCUUCAGGCUGAGCAAAAUUUUGGAGUUUUUAGAUUUUGAAAAUCGCCUCCCGCCGUGAGGCUCCCAGUCGGGGAGAGGAGGAGAUACGCGCAGCAUGAAGAGUGUAAAUAUUAGAUAAAACGUAUAAUUGCCGGCAGGUCUGGUCUUUGUUGACUGAUCACUUUGUCUGGUCAUGACUGACUCCGAUUAUGAAGCAGAAUAUUGACUCUGGUGAAGAAAUUCACUCAUCCAGCCGGGAAGAUUGACGCUGCUGCAGCAUCAGACAGCUGGUGCUGCACGAGAGGUGUGUGGAGUUUACAAGUUCCAAACGUUGGGUUUGAUGUUGGUUUAACCUUCUCGGGGACGUGAUGGAUGUAGAAAUGAUGAUAAAAACACCACUAACGUGACAAACGUAGCAACAAUGUAAAAAAAAAAGCCGUAACAAAGAGGCAGAUGCCGAUGCGUUAGAUAUGGAAGUCAAAGUGUGCCACAUAAUCAUAAAAAAAUUAAAAUAGAAAAUUUAAAAAGAGAUUUAUAUAUUUAUAUGUAAAUAAAAACGUUCCAAAUAUAAUGAAAAUUCCUAAAUAACAUAAAACUACGAAGGAACAUCUGUCGGCCAGGCUGAAAAGUUUGGGAACUACUGCUCUAAGUGAUAAGUGAAUUUCGUUUUUUAAAUAUAUUUUAUGUGCAGUUUUUUAGGGGUUUUAUGUUUUCUGUAAAGAUUGGUAUGCUGAAAAUCAUUUAAUGUUUUGCAUAAAGCAUGAGGUUUUGGUUAGUAAUUGAUUGGGAGAAUAACAAAUGACUGAAUUAAAUAGUGGGGCGCCUCUGUCAGUGCGCCCCAGGGCAGCUGUGGCUACAUCGUAGCUCAUCACCAUCAGUGUGUGAAUGUGUGUGUGAAUGGAUGAAUGAUACACUGUAGUGUAAAGCACUUUGGAGUCCUUACUCUGAGAGGCGCUAUACAAGUGCGGAUCAUUUAUCAUUUAUAGUGUUGAUCAGGCAGAGCUUUGUUGCCAGCGUUCCACUGCAUAAUGGCUUCAAACACGUAUAUAAAAGUGUUAGUUUUUACCAUAGACUGUAAAUACUGGACAAAUGGAUUCCAUUGGCUUCAAUAACACGUUUGUUGUCUAUAAUGGGAGGUGGCCACCACCGCCAUUUUGACCGUGUCACAGGUUCCGUCCAGCCCAGACAACUCCAUAAAAGGGAAGAGAGGAGGCGCUGAGGGUGUGGCUGUAAGGCUGGGCUCGAGUGACGACACCCAGGCGAACUAGCUACGAGCUAACCUGAAGCUAACCCUGGCUAACCCAAAGCUAAAGCGGAGGUGGGAGCCGAGCUAACGGAUGUAGCCACCUAGCUUCAACCCAACCGGAGCUAACUGGAACACCCAUCGACCUGAACCUCACACGGAGUUUAGGUGGAGGUUUUCUGCGCCUGUUCGUGAGAAGUACCUGUAUUAAAAAAGUUUUAAAUCGAUCUAUUAAAAGGUCACCAUGGCAGCCUGUGUGUCAACGUCAGCUACACAAAGCAGCAAGUGUAAGUACCAAGUACUUGUCUUGACCACUUCAUGAAUGGUUUUGUACUUUAAACAGCUAGGCCAAACCUGUUAUUUUUUCCUCCAUAGCCAUUUGGAUCAUUGGAGACAGCUGAGUGAGGCGUGGUGCCCAGAGAGCUGCAGAGACAACCUUGGCCUCCCUGACGUCUGUGUCUCUUGGUUUGGUUGGGGCGGACCAUCGACAUACAUACAUGUGCCGACACUUUGCGCCCUGUUUUAUAAACUGUAGUGUUAAAAAUAAAUGUUUUUGCUCAA